UCCUACGGGACGCAGCAGUGGGGAAUAUUGCACAAUGGGGGAAACCCUGAUGCAGCAACGCCGCGUGAGUGAAGAAGUAUUUCGGCAUGUAAAGCUCUAUCAGCAGGGAAGAACAUGACGGUACCUGACCAAGAAGCCCCGGCUAACUACGUGCCAGCAGCCGCGGUAAUACGUAGGGGGCAAGCGUUAUCCGGAUUUACUGGGUGUAAAGGGGGCGCAGACGGCGAUGCAAGCCAGGAGUGAAAGCCCGGGGCCCAACCCCGGGACUGCUCUUGGAAGUGAGUGGCUAGAGGGCAGGAGGGGGG
rnacentral:rRNA from 1 species